UGAGGAAUUUUGCGCAAUGGGAGCAAUCCUGACGCAGCAACGCCGCGUGGGUGAUGAAGGCCUUCGGGUCGUAAAGCCCUGUCAGGUGGGAAGAAUGUCAAGGGACUGAACAGGUUCCGGGAGUGACGGUACCACCAGAGGAAGCACCGGCUAACUCCGUGCCAGCAGCCGCCGUACUACGGAGGGUGCGAGCGUUAUUCGGAAUUACUGGGCGGAAAGCGCGUGUAGGCGGUCCCGCAAGUCUGAUGUGAAAGCCACGGGCUUAACCCGGGAAGUGCAUUGGAAACGGUUGGACGUGAGUACUGGAGAGGGUGGGGGAAUUCCCGGUGUAGUGGUGAAAUUCGUAGAGAUCGGGAGGAAUAUCAGUGGCGAAGGCGCCCAUCUGGACGGUAACUGACGCUGGGACGCGAAAGCGUGGGGAGCAAACA
rnacentral:rRNA from 1 species